AAUUCAGAGAUGGAUUGGUGCCUUCGGGAACUGUGAGACAGGUGCUGCAUGGCUGUCGUCAGCUCGUGUUGUGAAAUGUUGGGUUAAGUCCCGCAACGAGCGCAACCCUUAUCCUUUGUUGCCAGCGAUUAGGUCGGGAACUCAAAGGAGACUGCCAGUGAUAAACUGGAGGAAGGUGGGGAUGACGUCAAGUCAUCAUGGCCCUUACGACCAGGGCUACACACGUGCUACAAUGGCGCAUACAAAGAGAAGCGACCU
rnacentral:rRNA from 1 species